AUUUGAUUCAAUGCCAGAGCAAGGAGACUUACAACUACAAAUCUAUAUCUACAUUGUUUUGCACGCCAGAACUCAGAUGUUCAAAUAAUCCAAAACAUAGCAAACAGUUCAUUCAGUAUUUCAACAAUAAUUGUCGCUGCAGCCAUGCCCAGUACAGGGAGAUUUACUGUCUCUGUCCAUGGAGUACCUCUGAUUCACCGAUUGUGAGGCGGGCCUGUACAUAUGAUACCAGGAAGCGAUCCUUUUGGUACUGGCAGCAAGCAGGGUUCCACUAAUUAAAGUAAAUAUGGCACAACACACACAGGCCAGCAGACAGGCAACA